rnacentral:lncRNA from 1 species
CUGCAAUUUUCCUUUGGAUGAGCAGGUGGAAUCUAAAUCAAUGUUUGUUUUCCAAAUCGGCCUGGGUUGGUGGUGAUUGUUGUUUUGUUGUUUUCUCAUUGUGAGACAGAAGUAUAGGGUUCAAAGUUGGUGAUAAUUAACUGAAAGGCACAUUUUCCAGGCUUGAGUGUCAGGGACAGGAGUAAAGAGUUCAAAUUUAAAUUGGGGAAGGUUAAAAGAAAAGCACUACAUGCUUUAUGCUUAAAAAGAAUGAUAAAAAGGUCUACCCAACUACAACGUUGUUCAAGACUAACAAGAAAAAAUCAAACCGAUGCAAGCAGGUCUGACCACAACCCUUUAAAAGAAACCAGGAAUAAGCCUAAGUAAUAGUAGAAAAAUCAUGUAACUGUAAAACAUAGGAUUUAAGCCAUAGAAUAAGUCAGUGUGUCAGUAGUUAUAGAUAAAUAAGCAAGUAGAUUAAUAUAGAUAUAGAUAAGGUUAGAUUAACAUAGCAACCUGCUCUUGUAGCCUUGCAUAGGAUAAAGGACAUAGGGUUUAUGAAUAUUAGUAAAAUGACAGAUGAAAAUGUGCGUAUAGGCCAUAAGAUAACUGUAGUUUUAAGUAGGCAUCAAACAAGUUACUAGUACUGAGUGUGUAAAGCAUUUGCUCUCGUAGAGACUCAUUAGUUACUUUCAACAAUGCAC